GACGAACGCUGGCGGCGUGCCUAAUGCAUGCAAGUCGCACGCACCCUUCGGGGUGAGUGGCGCACGGCUGAGGAACACGUGGGAAUCUGCCCUUCGGUGGGGGAUAACCCGGAGAAAUCCGAGCUAAUCCCGCAUACGCUUCGCAAGAAGGAAAGCGGCAACGCGCUGAAGGAGGAGCCCGCGGCCCAUCAGGUCGUUGGUGGGGUAACGGCCUACCAAGCCAAUGACGGGUAGCUGGUCUGAGAGGACAGACAGCCAGACUGGGACUGAGAACGGCCCAGACUCCUACGGGAGGCAGCAGCAAGGAAUUUUCGUCAAUGGGCGCAAGCCUGAACGAGCAACGCCGCGUGUGGGAUGACGGCCUUCGGGUUGUAAACCACUUUUGAGGGGGACGAUCAUGACGGUACCCCUGGAAUAAGCCCCGGCUAACUCUGUG
rnacentral:rRNA from 1 species